AGCGAACGCUGGCGGCAGGCCUAACACAUGCAAGUCGAACGAACUCUUCGGAGUUAGUGGCGGACGGGUGAGUAACACGUGGGAACGUGCCUUUUGGUUCGGAAUAACUCAGGGAAACUUGUGCUAAUACCGAAUGUGCUCUUCGGGGGAAAGAUUUAUCGCCAUUAGAUCGGCCCGCGUCUGAUUAGCUAGUUGGUGAGGUAACGGCUCACCAAGGCGACGAUCAGUAGCUGGUCUGAGAGGAUGACCAGCCACACUGGGACUGAGACACGGCCCAGACUCCUACGGGAGGCAGCAGUGGGGAAUCUUGCGCAAUGGGCGAAAGCCUGACGCAGCCAUGCCGCGUGAAUGAUGAAGGUCUUAGGAUUGUAAAAUUCUUUCACCGGGGACGAUAAUGACGGUACCCGGAGAAGAAGCCCCGGCUAACUUCGUG
rnacentral:rRNA from 1 species